rnacentral:rRNA from 1 species
GACGAACGCUGGCGGCGUGCUUAACACAUGCAAGUCGAACGGAAAGGCCCUGCUUUUGUGGGGUGCUCGAGUGGCGAACAGGUGAGUAACACGUGAGUAACCUGCCCUUGACUUUGGGAUAACUUCAGGAAACUGGGGCUAAUACCGGAUAGGAGCUCCUGCUGCAUGGUGGGGGUUGGAAAGUUUCGGCGGUUGGGGAUGGACUCGCGGCUUAUCAGCUUGUUGGUGGGGUAGUGGCUUACCAAGGCUUUGACGGGUAGCCGGCCUGAGAGGGUGACCGGCCACAUUGGGACUGAGAUACGGCCCAGACUCCUACGGGAGACAGCAGUGGGGAAUAUUGCACAAUGGGCGGAAGCCUGAUGCAGCAACGCCGCGUGCGGGAUGACGGCCUUCGGGUUGUAAACCGCUUUCGCCUGUGACGAAGCGUGAGUGACGGUAAUGGGUAAAGAAGCACCGGCUAACUACGUG